rnacentral:rRNA from 1 species
UAAUACGUAGGGUGCAAGCGUUAAUCGGAAUUACUGGGCGUAAAGCGUGCGCAGGCGGUUCGGAAAGAAAGAUGUGAAAUCCCAGGGCUCAACCUUGGAACUGCAUUUUUAACUCCCGAACUAGAGUGUGUCAGAGGGGGGUGGAAUUCCACGUGUAGCAGUGAAAUGCGUAGAUAUGUGGAGGAACACCGAUGGCGAAGGCAGCCCCCUGGGAUAACACUGACGCUCAUGCACGAAAGCGUGGGGAGCAAACAGGAUUAGAUACCCUGGUAGUCCACGCCCUAAACGAUGUCAACUAGCUGUUGGGUUCUUCGGAGCUUGGUAGCGCAGCUAACGCGUGAAGUUGACCGCCUGGGGAGUACGGUCGCAAGAUUAAAACUUAAAUGAAUUGACGG